rnacentral:rRNA from 1 species
CCUACGGGUGGCAGCAGUGGGGAAUAUUGGUCAAUGGGGGCGAGCCUGAACCAGCCAAGUAGCGUGAAGGAUGAAUGCCCUACGGGUUGUAAACUUCUUUUAUAAAGGAAUAAAGUGAGGCACGUGUGCCUUUUUGUAUGUACUUUAUGAAUAAGGAUCGGCUAACUCCGUGCCAGCAGCCGCGGUAAUACGGAGGAUCCGAGCGUUAUCCGGAUUUAUUGGGUGUAAAGGGAGCGUAGAUGGGGUGUUAAGUCAGUUGUGAAAGUUUGCGGCUCAACCAUAAAAUUGCAAUUGAUACUGGCAGUCUUGAGUACAGUAGAGGUAGGCGGAAUUCGUGGUGUAGCGGUGAAAUGCUUAGAUAUCACGAAGAACUCCGAUUGCGAAGGCAGCUUACUAAACUGCCACUGACAUUGAUGCUCGAAAGUGUGGGUAGCAAACAGGAUUAGAUACCCCGGUAGUC